CGAUUUGCUGUUGGCGAUUCUUGUGCAGAGAGAUUGGGUGAGCGUGUACUUCCUCAGAUACACCUGCCCCCACUACUUCGUUUCCUUCCCUACGAAGAUGACUUCGCAUCGACUCCCAUGUCUACCUCCUCCAUGCCUCCCCUACCACCACCACCGCUUAGACACAUCGGCUCCUCCUCUACCAUUCUCUCAAUCUGGAUCCAAGGAGGUGGUUGGCAGGGACGCCAUCGACCUUAGGGCUGAGGGGUGGCGACCAUCCCAGAUCAGAGUCAGCUGGAGUGGCUCGAGGGAGACGUGGUCUGGAUGGCGUUGCGGCAUCCUCGCCAUUCGGUAUACGCGCAGCUGCGGCUCCUUGCCUUGGCAAGGUCUUCAAGGACGACAAGCUCGUUGAGUGUCUCCUCGACCGCUCCCCCAGCCCCACCUCCUCGAAUUCGUAUGUUGCAGGAGUUCACGAGCUGGCACGACUGCUCUUCUACGACUUCCUAAAAUUUUAUUUCUUCUUUCCCUUUCCUUUCUUUUGUCUUCACCUGAUUGAUGUUGUAUUAUUCAUGUGCUGCCGAAUUUGUUUUGCAAGUACUUAAAUCUUGCUAUGGAAUGAGGCAUCACAUUUUUGCCAGGCUAGGGUGUCCAGGGUUGCUGUAUUGGGCACACAAAAAACAAGGAUGACGCAUGGCACAUUUCAGGUGUAAAUCUAUUUCAUAUAUUGAAAGACAUAGGUUGUUCCAGAUAGAGUUGUAUAUUGGUGAUGCCUUCUCAUUGGUUUGCUGCAUAUGUAGUUACAGAGUGGGUCGCGCCUUUUCGUCAGGCAUCCUCUGGUGCUUCCCACGGUGUCUCUCUCUGUUCUUAUUGCUGCUGCACACAAACGACUGACCUUGCUCUGUUUUCUUUCUAGGUUCGACUUGUAGAUAGGACACACAUCAUGGUUAGCUCUUUGGUCAUCAACUGGUCCAUGACCAAAUAGAAAAGAAGGUCGGCGCUCACGCUCAGGAAGGACAUCUCAAAGUCAGUGCAGGAAAUGACCACCGCCGUGUUCUCAGCGGAAGGGACAGAGGGGCACAGAAGCUGCUGACAUCCUCAUCAGAAUUUAGUUCCAAGGAGCUUAGUUACUUAAUUACCUCCGCUCGUGUAUCUUCAUUUUCAUGUCGUCGCUGGAUUAUUAUUAUUGUUACAGUUCAGUAGUAGUCAUUCUAGCUUGGCACCGCUAAAUUUUAUUUGAAAUGUAGAAUAUAUUAAAACAAACACAACCGUAUAUAACUUCUUGUGCAUCAGGGAGGCAUGCUGUGGAAGCAAAAGGUUGCAGGUUUAUGCUAAGUGAGGGAGAUAUGGUGAAAGCAGCGAAAGGGAAAGACUACAGAUUGCUGGAUUGGGAGUUUGGGACUUUGCCUGCAAAAUGAUUGUCGUCCUGAAAGGCUAGGAGUGGGCACUCCUCUGGGUUGCUCUUUGCUUACAUAGGCAACAAAAUAUAUUGCACUUCUGCUAAUCACAGUUCAUCUCUACAUUCUCAGUAGGUACUUUAAUUGAAGGGCUUUUCUCAAUUGUGAUAGGAAUAACCUGAUAGAUUCAAAAAAUAUCUAUCUAUUUAUGUGUAACACCAUGGUUUUUGGCCCCUGCUUUUUCUUUCUACUGCUUUAGUUGAU